rnacentral:lncRNA from 1 species
UUACCUAAAAGGACUUUCUUCGAAGUAAUGGGCAAACCAAGCAUUAAGGGACCAACGAUCGUGACGUAAAUGGAUGAAGAACUCUCCUAAAUCGAUCCAUUAGUCGAUUAUCUUAAAGAUGGGAUGCUACCUAUAGAUCGAAAGGAGGCUCAGAAGAUAAAAUAUCAUUUAGAUAUCUCCUUCAUGAAAGAAAGCUGUACAAGAUGUCCUAUUCACUACCUCUUCUCAAAUACUUACGACCA